rnacentral:rRNA from 1 species
UGACCCAGUUCAACGGCCGCGGUAUCCUAACCGUGCGAAGGUAGCGUAAUCACUUGUUCUUUAAAUGGGGACUAGUAUGAAUGGCAUCACGAGGGUUGAACUGUCUCCUUUCUCUAAUCAGUGAAACUAAUCUCCCCGUGAAGAAGCGGGAAUUAUAUUAUAAGACGAGAAGACCCUAUGGAGCUUUAAACAAAUUGACAUCUGCUUCCACCUACUUCAAUUCCUGAAUAAAUACACAAAAUAUAGCAUCAUUGAUCAAUAGUUUUAGAUUGGGGUGAUCAUGGAGCAAAAAACAACCUCCACGACGAAAAGGAGUGUACCCUGAGCCAAAAGCCACAACUUUAAGCACUAAAAAAUUAACGCAUCUUGACCCAAUUUUUUGAGCAACGAACCAAGUUACCCUAGGGAUAACAGCGCAAUCCACUUCAAGAGCCCCUAUCGACAAGUGGGCUUACGACCUCGAUGUUGGAUCAGGGUAUCCCAGUGGUGCAGCCGCUACUAAA